UUUUUAGUUAUUUGUUUACUUAAACAGUCAAAUAUUUUCAAAAUUACACAUAUAACCGUUUUAUUACAACACGAAUAACAAUGAAGUAAGUAAACAAUAUUUACAUUUCUUAAUACAGUUAUACACAAUGUGCUAUAUACAAAUCGCAAGCUAACUUCAACAUCCACAUAUCUAUCCAUGGUUGAUUUAUUGUAUCAACCUUACGACAAAUACUCAAAAAUUUUAUAUAUUUUAAAUAUCAACAAUCGCUCCUGCAAGUAAAUAAUAAUAUAUUAGUUCGAAAUAUAUAUCUAAAAAAUAAGUUUUCAAAUUAAAAACUCUUAAAUCCAUACAAUUCUCUUUGUCUCACCGUCAUCAUGUCCCGCACAGUGGCUAAUAUGUCAUCAACUCGAAUCAUCGCAUGUCUAGCUAUCAUGAGGAUGAUCACAACCAUUAGCUCCAGUUGAGCUUGUGUUAGAUAGUUAUGAUCGUAGUCGUACACAUAGAUGGUGGAUUCAUCUAAUGCGAUCUCAACUAGGGCUGGGCAAAUAUCCCGAACC
rnacentral:lncRNA from 1 species